rnacentral:rRNA from 1 species
AGAGUUUGAUCAUGGCUCAGGACGAACGCCGGCGGNNUGCUUAACACAUGCAAGUCGAGCGGAAAGGCCCUUCGGGGUACUCGAGCGGCGAACGGGUGAGUAACACGUGAGCAACCUGCCCUGGACUUUGGGAUAACCCUCGGAAACGGGGGCUAAUACCGAAUAUUACUGACUGUCGCAUGGCGGUUGGUGGAAAGUUUUUCGGUCUGGGAUGGGCUCGCGGCCUAUCAGCUUGUUGGUGGGGUGAUGGCCUACCAAGGCGACGACGGGUAGCCGGCCUGAGAGGGCGACCGGCCACACUGGGACUGAGACACGGCCCAGACUCCUACGGGAGGCAGCAGUGGGGAAUAUUGCACAAUGGGCGGAAGCCUGAUGCAGCGACGCCGCGUGAGGGAUGACGGCCUUCGGGUUGUAAACCUCUUUCAGCAGGGACGAAGCGCAAGUGACGGUACCUGCAGAAGAAGCGCCGGCCAACUACGUGCCAGCAGCCGCGGUAAGACGUAGGGCGCGAGCGUUGUCCGGAUUUAUUGGGCGUAAAGAGCUCGUAGGCGGCUUGUCGCGUCGACUGUGAAAACCCGCGGCUCAACUGCGGGCUUGCAGCCGAUACGGGCAGGCUAGAGUUCGGUAGGGGAGACUGGAAUUCCUGGUGUAGCGGUGAAAUGCGCAGAUAUCAGGAGGAACACCGGUGGCGAAGGCGGGUCUCUGGGCCGAUACUGACGCUGAGGAGCGAAAGCGUGGGGAGCGAACAGGAUUAGAUACCCUAGUAGUCC